rnacentral:lncRNA from 1 species
GCGGAGAAGAAGGGGCGUGGCAGAGAGCACAGUCGCGGAGGAGAAGUCUGGCACCUAGACGAUUUGGGCUGGCGUCAAUGUGGCGGCGGCAGAGAAGCACUGGUCCGACGGCGACGAUGACGAUUCGGGAGGCGGACGGAGACGAUAAUGGACGGAGAAGCAGAGUCCGGACGGAGAAAAGCUUGCAGCGGUGGGGGUUUCGUUUUCUGUUUUCUGAAAAUCGCGUGGAAGAAGAAAACUGUUCAAAGUUUUUUUUUAACUAUCAGAAAGAGCAUCUGCCGCGGUUCUACACUUAACCGCGACAUAAAGGGGGAAUAGGUCGCGGUUCUACACUAAACCGCGGCCUAUUCAUUUUAAAAAAAUAAUACAAAAUGGCAUUUUUGAAAUUUUUUUAACUUAUAUGCCGC